rnacentral:rRNA from 1 species
GAUGAACGCUAGCUACAGGCUUAACACAUGCAAGUUGAGGGGAAACGACAUCGAAGGCUUGCUUUUGAUGGGCGUCGACCGGCGCACGGGUGAGUAACGCGUAUCCAACCUGCCCAUCACUUGGGAAUAACCUUGCGAAAGUAAGACUAAUACCCAAUGACAUCCCACGAAGCCAUCUGAAUGGGAUUAAAGAUUUAUCGGUGAUGGAUGGGGAUGCGUCUGAUUAGCUUGUUGGCGGGGUAACGGCCCACCAAGGCAACGAUCAGUAGGGGUUCUGAGAGGAAGGUCCCCAACAUUGGAACUGAGACACGGUCCAAACUCCUACGGGAGGCAGCAGUGAGGAAUAUUGGUCAAUGGGCGAGAGCCUGAACCAGCCAAGUAGCGUGCAGGAUGACGGCCCUAUGGGUUGUAAACUGCUUUUAUAAGGGAAUAAAGUGGGUCUCGUGAGACUUUUUGCAUGUACCUUAUGAAUAAGGACCGGCUAAUUCCGUG